UGAGUGAGUAGUGAGAAGUUAAUGGUGAUUGUCAUGUCUCUGUUGGAAGGAAAAUAUUUAUAGGUGAAGGAAAAUAUUUAUAGGACAAUUUGCUGAAGGAAAAUAUUUAUAGGAUUCACACUAGAUCCUUGAUGGUUUAAUGGUGAUUGUCAGGUCCUUGUUACAUACUAACAUUGAUAUAUACCUGCCUUGUCUUAUGAACAAGAAUUUAAGUAUCCAUUAAAGCUAGUUUCAGAUAAAUACAGUCAAUGGAAUUUGUAGCUUAUUUGGUCAAAACUCUUGCUAAUUCAUGGUCUCAUCCUGCAGAACACAAUACAGAAGUGGUUUAUGCCAAGUUUUGACUAGACCAUAUGUUUGUUAAGUGAGCCUGCAGGUAGAAUUUCAAAUAAGUUUGCCCCAUUUUCCAAAGUAUCCAUGCAGCUCAAAGUCAUCUUUUGUAAUCCUUCAUGGUUCAUGUAUUGAAUGUAGCAUACUUGUGUCUUCAUGUGCCAAUGCUUUGGAGGUUUUUAUUUUGUUCUAAGCUUCUGAAUAUGAUCAUGUAUGCUUGAUGGAAGCAUUGUCCAAGCUCCUCUUCAUUGUUGUCAUCCUCAUCUCCUCCAUCUUGUUCUCAUCGCCUUGCUGCUGCCGCUUCUUCAUGGAUUCCCC
rnacentral:lncRNA from 1 species